UACGGAGGGGGCUAGCGUUGUUCGGAAUUACUGGGCGUAAAGCGCACGUAGGCGGCUUUGUAAGUUAGAGGUGAAAGCCCGGGGCUCAACUCCGGAAUUGCCUUUAAGACUGCAUCGCUAGAAUUGUGGAGAGGUAGUGGAAUUCCGAGUGUAGAGGUGAAAUUCGUAGAUAUUCGGAAGAACACCAGUGGCGAAGGCGACUUACUGGACACAUAUUGACGCUGAGGUGCGAAAGCGUGGGGAGCAAACAGG
rnacentral:rRNA from 1 species